AGCAAUCUCAGGAACCAAGGGGUCGUCAGGGUUUGGGUCCGUCAAAAGUGAGCAAAUUGAAAGCAAAACCUUGGAAAUAGUUAAUGCAGGGCUCCACUGCUCCUUCAGUAUGUCCAAGCAUAUACUCCCAUUGCUAUUGAUAUUUGGAUGGAAAACUUUUGUCCUAAAAGCAACCUUAGGAGGCUUGAAUGGAUAAUCCGGAGGAAAAUGGAUCGUGACCAAAAAAACACCCCCAGCAUAAGGGCUAUCAGAGGGCCCCAUUAUUGUAGCCUGCCAGUGAAACAUGUCCUCUCCAACAGGGCCUGUUACAAAGUUGUUAGGAAGUCAAUGUCAAAGAAUAACAGAUAACAUAGCAUGUACAUCUUUUACAGAUGCAGGAACAUGUGCGCGACAUCUAGAUGAAGAAUAGUGAAAAUGCC
rnacentral:misc_RNA from 1 species